GCGGCCCAGGCCCCUCCACCACUUGGGCGCCGCGUUUUGUUUUCGCUUCGGACGGGGAGGAGGCCUCGCGGGGCGUCAGGGAAGGUUGGCGCCUCCAAACGGGCGCUAUCGCUCUUCCCUGGCGGGGAAAGGAAGCCAGGCACAAUGCAGACCAUGGCGGCGUCCGACGAAGGCCCUACAGACAUGGGCAAAUAGGGAGUUCGGAAUCGUGGGAGUUGAAGUCCAAAACAGCCGGAUGGCCGAAUUUUGCCCAGCUCCUCUGACAAAAAUAUAUAAAAACAACAUAGGCAGCAUGUAUACGGCCCUAUAUUUCAGGAUUUGAUACCAGAUUAUCUUUUUAUUUAUUUACUAUUAGCUUGGGUACCCGCCAUUGCCCGGGUUAUUUCAAAAAAGCCAAUUUUUAAUUGUCCAAAAUUAAGUUUGUGGGCAAACUACAACUCACAUUAUGCCGGAUGAACCCCCUGAAACCCCAUCUUUGGUUAAAGUUUGUUAUGUUGGGCAGGUUUGCUCUCUAGAUGCAUCAUUGAUGGGGUUCAGUGAGCUCUUAGGCUGCAGGGUAAACUAUAGCUCUCACCAUGGUGGGUCAGGACCCUUCCACAUAGUCCUAUAUCCCAGAAUAUCAAGGCAGAAAAUCCCACAUUAUCUCAGUGUGGACUCAGGGCCCUUUCACAUAGCCCUAUAUCUCAGAACAUCAAGGGAGAAAAUCCCACAAUAUCUGCUUUGAACUGGAUAUCUGAGUCCACACUCAGAUAGUGUGGGAUUUUCUGCCUUAAUAUUCUGGGAUAUAGGGCUGUGUGGAAGGAUCCUCAGAUAACCCAGUUCAAAUCAGAUAUUGUGGGAUUUUCUGCCUUGAUGUUCUGGGGAAUCGGGCAGUGUGAAAUGGCCCUCAAUUCCCUCCAGUGGGUUCAGUUGAUCAUGGGGGUCGCGGUAUCUCCUGAGAGUCACGGAGAGUAAUGCAAUAGGUUAAACCCUUGUGCCGGCUGAACUGCUGACCUGAAGAUCAGUGGUUCGAAUCUGCAAGACAGGGUGAGCUCCCGUCUGUCAGCUCCAGCCUUUCAUGAGGGGACAUGAGAGAAGCCUCCCACAGGAUGGUAAAACAUCAAACAUCUGGGCAUCCCCCUGGGCAACAUCUUUAUAGAUGGGUGAUUCUCUCACACCAGAAGCGACUUGCAGUAUAUUCUCAAUUUGCUUUUGACACAAUUUUUUAAAAAAGAUUAUCCAGAUGUAGGUGAACUUCAACUCUCAGAAUUGAAGGUCAGUUCCCCUCAAACCCCUCCAGUAUGUUCAGUUGAUCAUGGGGGUUCUGUGUGCCAAGUUAGGUCCAGGUCCAUUGUUGGUGGGGAUUGGGUCAGUCCCCUAAACCCGUCCAGUAUGUUUAGUUGUUCAGUUGCUGAUCAAAUAAUGCUCUGUUUGCUGGGUGCUAUAGGAAAGGGUAGGAAACGGUUAAGGGAGAGGCCUUGUGUGGGGUCAUGCAAAUUCCACAGCAAUAGAGAGAGAAAGGGACACCAGUGUCUUUGAUAGAAGAAAAACAGGAAAUCUAGUAUGAAAUUGUCCCCAUAUAAAAGCCUUCACUUGGGUGGUGUGCAGGAUGGUGUUUGUGGAGGUCAUUGGCAGGGCUCUUGGACAUAAUAAUAAUAAUAAUAAUAAUAAUAAUAAUAAUAAUAAUAAUAAUAUAAAACUUUAUAUUCAUGGCGCCCGCGAUAACCUAAAAUGUUCCUUGGAGGGAGGGCCAAUGGUGGCUCCACAGCACUGGGAGUUAUUGCUGUUUGCGGAGGUGGGAUCUGUCGAAAGGUUGACAGUUUGAAGCUCCUGUCAGGAUGAGCCCCUCACCUUUAGCCCAGCUUCCACCUACCUAGUGGCUAAAAAGCAAAAUGCAAAUAGAUAAAUAGGUAUUGCUUAAAAGCGGGGAGAUAUUUUAAGGCAUCCAUAAGGAAAUGCCAGAAAAAUGCCGAUGAUAUGAUAAAAGGAGGAAGUUUAUGAACAAAGCUUUUCGGCAGUGAGAUGGAGCAACAGCACCCCCCCCCCCCUUGCCAAAACCGAGCACAAGCCUCCAAGAAGCCGAAGAUGGGAAAAGCCUAUAUAUACCUCUUUCUAUGUACAAUUGUCAGUGUAUAAAAAAUGCCAUUGAAUGUUUGCCACAUACGUAUGUUCUGUGAUCCGCCCUAGGUCCCCUUCGGGGUGAGAAGGGCAAAAUAUAAAUACUGUAAAUAAAUAAUAAAUAAAAUCUGUUUUAAAGCAGAUAGCCAGAGAUCAGAUCUUGGGAUAUAGGGCAGUGUAGAUCCAGCCAUAGUCUGUGUGUGGGUUUAGAAUCUGAAAUGACUCUUUACAACUGGUGAACUGGGGUCCCCUAUUCCAGCAAAUGUUGAGGACUGCUUGUAGUAUUUCUGCAGGAUGGAUGGUAGGAAUUGCCCUGCUUGCCAUAUCAUCUCUUCUGUGUACUUUUUUUCAUUGUCAUUAAUGUAUAUAUUCCAAAUAUGUAACUGUCAUAAGAGCUAGAGGUUGCUAACAAAUAAGAUGAUUUUAAAUAUUUUGGAAUUAAAAUGACAGCAGUGUAAAGUAAUUUUAACAUUCUAAAGGCAUGUUAAAUAACUGAACAAUUAAAAAGGUUAAAGUGCAGGAAGCAUAAUAUGUACUUUUAGUGGAUCUGGUUGAAGUGCAUUGUAGUGUGUGACAGAAAACUAAACACCACAGGAGAUUAGGACUAGUGUGAUGUCAUGGUUAGAAUGCUGGACUGGGACUUGAGAGAUCCUUCACACAAGAUCAUUAGGUGAACUUGGAAAAGUCACUCUCUUUCAGUAUGACUGACCUCACAUGGUUGUUGUAAGGAUAAAAGUGGGGAUAUGAAGAACCAUAUAUGUCAUCUUGAGCUCAUGGAAGGAAAGGCAGGAUAUAAAUAUAAAGUGAUUUUCUUAUAUGUGAGGGAUGUGUUCCAGGAUCCCACUGCGGAUACCUGAAACCAUGGAUAACAGAGAAUCCUAUAUUUUUACUAUUCUUGGGCCAGAGGCCUGCCAUAUAAUCACACUGAAGUACCUAGAACAGUCCACAUACACUUGGGGUUAUGGGUGGGGUGGAUAUUUGGGGUAAGUGGUAUCAAAUUUGUGGAUAAGCAGGUCAUACUGUGCGAAGAUGAGGUAGAAAAUACAACAGAAUGCAGCAUAUCACAAAUUUUAAAAGGGAGUUCUCCCCAAAGCAAAUUCAGGCAAUGCAGUAGUAGCCAAUCAUUUUUAAACAGAAAGCAACUUAAAAAGUAAUGUUAAAACUUACCUAUUACAAACGAUCAAAAAGGUUACAAUUUCCAUAUUACUUUAUUGUUUUGGUUAUUUUUCAGGCAAAGUUAACAUCAAUAUAAUUUAGUUUUUUUUUAUUUGGCCUCUUUCUUUAAAUUUCUCAUGGAAUGAUUGCCCGGAAGUCAGCAAACUAAUUGUGCUGAUUAUAUACUUGAAAGCACCCCCCCCC